rnacentral:misc_RNA from 1 species
AAAAAUUCAAAUUACACAUCCAACUUUCGCAUGUAUGUGAUACAUUUAACAUUCCUGUGUUCUUCCUUGUGGGAAAAGUAACUUGUAUACCUUUGUGAUUAAUAGCAUAUUUAUGUUACAUUAAUAUUAUUUUAGAAUCGAAAUACAACAUUGUCUGCAGUUAUCGUUAUGAAUUUUAAAUAAACAACAUGUAUUAGUAUUCAUUAUUGAAUUUUGAUUGAUUGUGUAUAUAUUAUUUUUUUGUUCACCUAGAUCAUAUCAUAAGUGCAGUUAAGGUUUAUAAUAGUUGUUUAUCAUAUUUUUAUGACAAAAUUUUCGUGAAGACUUUUAAUGUUAUUGUCACGAAAAUUGGGGAAUAUAUUUUUAAUGUUAUUGUCACGAACUAUUUUUAAUUACUUUAUUGUUACGAAAAUUGAGGAACAGCUUAUCGUAAUGCCAAUAGAAACUGGUAGAUGAAACAAUACUCAAUAAGACAAGCAUAUGUGCAACUUAUGUUUAGCAAACCAGAUUGGCACUGAAUAUCAUUAAACUUAAUCGUGUGAUGCUUUGAUAGAAUUAAAAGAAAAAUGGUGGGUAGCAUUUAAUUUGAAAAAUCAAAAACUUUAGCUUUUUCUUGUACUUUCAUCUAAAAAUUCUGCAAACUAUUGAAAACUCUUUGCAUUUAUAAGUAAGAUACACUCUAUUUUGUUAUCUUAACACUAUAUCUGAACAAAUCCUGGUUUACCUUUAUUGUGUUUUUGUAUAAAAUUUGUAUAAAUUC